CCUACGGGUGGCAGCAGUGAGGAAUAUUGGUCAAUGGACGCAAGUCUGAACCAGCCAUGCCGCGUGCAGGAAGACGGCUCUCUGAGUUGUAAAUUGCUUUUGUACGAGGGUAAACGCAGAUACGCGUAUCUGUCUGCAAGUAUCGUACGAAUAAGGAUCGGCUAACUCCGUUCCAGCAGCCGCGGUACUACGGAGGAUUCAAUCGUUAUCCGGAUUUAUUGGGUUUAAAGGGUGCGUAGGCGGUCGGAUAAGUUAGAGGUGAAAUCCCCGGGCUCAACUUCGGAAUUGCCUCUGAUACUGUUCGGCUAGAGAGUAGUAGCGGUAGGCGGAAUGUAUGGUGUAGCGGUGAAAUGCGUAGAGAUCAGACAGAACACCGAUUGCGAAGGCAGCUUACCAAGCUACUUCUGACGUUGAGGCACGAAAGCGUGGGGAGCAAACAGGAUUAGAUACCCCGGUAGUC
rnacentral:rRNA from 1 species